UUUGUCGGGCCAUGAAACAAAACCCCAACUCCCUCCCUUAUCUCGUCAUUUCCUCACAAAUCCCCAAACCUGUGAAACCCAAAACCCCAACCUCCAAACCCUGAAAACCUGAAACCCCAGUCUUCUCUCUCUCCUUGUCGUUCUCGUCAGAACCCCAAGCUCGCCGGAGCUUCGACGUGCUGCCGUUUUUCCCCUCCCUCGCGCGAUACUGCUAUGGUUUUAUUGUCGCGUCUUCUUCCUUCUUCCUGUGGUGGUGCUAUUGUCGGUCUUCGCAAUUAGUCCGGUCGUGUUGUUUGUGUCCCGCCGUGAAAUUGUUAUUGUUGUGUCGUUGUUGGUGGCUGUUGCUGCUGGGUUGCCGUGGCUGGAGACCACAUUUCUCCCUCCUCUACCGCUAUUCUGUUCUUCCUCCUCUGUUCGUGUUAUGUUGUUACGAUGCUGCUCGUGUGCCACCGCAGUGCUGCUGAUGUUUAUGGUUGUUGGCGCCGCCGUGGUUUGUUGCUGCCAACACCUUGCUGUUGGUGGUUGAGGCAAAGUACAAAAGUAUUUUAAAUGUUUCAGGUUAAAGCCGAAAGUAAAAUUUUUGCAAGUUGAAGCUAAUACAAGCUGGAGCAGAAUUGUAGUUGUUAUCGAAGUGAGGACGCUUGACUUUGUAAUAGUUAGUCGUUUAUUAUUUAUAAUAUAUCUAUCCAUUUAAGAGUCA